rnacentral:rRNA from 1 species
UACGUAGGGAGCAAGCGUUGUCCGGAAUCAUUGGGCGUAAAGAGCGCGUAGGUGGCUGCAUAAGUCCGUUGUGAAAGUCAAAGGCUCAACCUUUGAAAGCCGAUGGAUACUGUGGAGCUAGAGUACGGAAGAGGCGAGUGGAAUUCCUGGUGUAGCGGUGGAAUGCGCAGAUAUCAGGAGGAACACCAAUAGCGAAGGCAGCUCGCUGGGACGGUACUGACGCUGAGACGCGAAAGCGUGGGGAGCAAACAGG